AAUAGGGUGGCCCCCUGACUCUAUAUUUUCAAUAAUUUAUUUAAAGGAUAGGCCACCCAAAAAUGAAAUCGAUCCAUUCAGGAGACAUACUGUACAGUACUGUGCAAAAGUCUUAGGCCACCAUGCUUCCAUUAGGUUUGUUGUUUUUGCAAUUGUAUCGUGAUCAUAUAUAAUUAUUUCUCAGUCUCUAUAUUAGAAUACAACCAGAAAAUACAUGAAAUGUGUAUGUAGUAAAAAACAGUAUAAAAGGUAUACAUUUAGGGUAAACUCCCCUUCCACUUGAGCAAUAGCAGGCAGCUGCAGGAUCUCUUAAACCUAAAUGAAAUUAAAUCCUAAUUUCUAUUUCUAAUCAAAUGACUUCAGAUGCUCAAGAUGCGUUUUGUGCCAAGAGAGGUCACACUAAAUACUAACUGAUGCCUAAAGAAGACAUUUAGUUGUGAAAAUUUUUUGUUUUUAAUUUUGUGUACACAUUUCCCGUAUUUUCUGUUUGUAUCUUAAAAAAAAAAGAGUAAAAAAUAAAUAUGAAUGGACAUUAAAACUUUGCUAAAACAACAAAGCUGGGGAUGGUGGCCUAAGACUUUUGCAGUACUGUGCAUGUAAAGUUGUUUGAAGGAUUUUAAUUUUGAGUUAAUUUUGUAUAAUUGUUGUCUGUCUGGAAUAUUUCACUCAAAUAUGAAAAUUCGAGAAACAUGCAUAUAACAACUAGUCUCGAGAUAUGCAAGAACCAAUGAGAAUCAACGUUAUCGAUGUGCCACCAUAUUUUAACUUAUAGUGUUAAUCUGUAUAUUUUUAUUGAAAUGCAAUGUAUUAAACCCUAAAUAACAUAAAAAUAUUUCUUAUUUUCUCUCACAAACGUAUUGUUUCACUUCAGAAGACAUUUAUUAGCACACUGGAGUCAUUCAAAUUACUUUGAUGAUGGAUGUACAGCAUCGCUGCAUCCGAAACCGCAUAUAGUACACUGUUAGAUGUCGCUGUAGAUUUAGCAGUACAUUACUGUAAAAAUCCACAGUACUAUACUGUAUGUGUACAUUACAGUACAGUACUGCAGUUCAUAAUGCAUUCUGGGUAAAUUUGUUUGAGCGGGAACAUUUUACAGUAUCUUUUGGUCUUGAUGUAACCUUGCUGUAGCCAUUGCUGUAAUGUGCCAGGUGUACUUGCAAUAAUCAGAGAAAGUGCGCCAACGUCAAAUCACACAGACAGAGGGAGAGAGAGCACAACUCCUGGCUGCAGCUGAAGGAGGACGAUUGAUUUCUGGCAGUUCGUCUUACCAUUGCUUGUAAGUCGGAUUGGGUAAGAUGGAUCAUCUUUAAAGGAACCAGGAGUUAAGGCAGAUGUGGAGGCACAACGGGUGAUACCAGACACACACCAAGCACAUUAUGUUCGGACAUUCAAUCAUGACAGGAUCCAUGUGGAUGCUGUCCAUUGAGGAAAGAGUUUGUUCAGCGGUUUCUGGAUAGAAUUAAUUCCAAAGAUGGGAAAAAGUGCACAUCCAGACAAGGAGCAAGCAAAAAGACAAGGAACUUGGUGCAGAGAAAAGCUGUGGCCAUUGACCCCCAUGUGAACAGCUUCAUGCAGUCCCUGAUUGAGUUCGAAUGGACGACUUCAAAGUAAAGGCCACUGUGGUCUGUCUGCCACAGUUUAAUGCAUUUAUUUUUAGUGUUAAAUUAAAUUCAAGUAGAAUAUUUAAAACUAUGGGCCAGUGUUCUUUUUACCACAGUGAAAUGUUACCUUUUAGUCGAUGAUGGACUUUAAACUGAAAACUUCAAACUAUGGAACAGUGUUCUAUUUGCCAGAGUUAAAUAUGUUACAGCAGGGGUCUCCAAACUUGUUUAUACUUGUUGAUUUUAUUUUAUUUAACUUGUUUAUAUGUUUAUUAUUGUUUAAAAUCUUGUUUUAAAUAUGUUUUGUUUCAAUUAAAUGUUUUUUUUAAAUAAAAUUUUGAUACAUACAUUGCUUGGAUUGCCUUUUAAUUCAUUAUGUUUUAAUGUAGCAUUUUUACCAUAUUAAUAACUAUAGAUUUAAACCUAAAUAUCUAGCUAUUAUAUAUAAUAUUAUUGUAUUAACUGUAAUAAGUAAUAAAUAGUAUUUAUGGGUCAAUAAAGACAUUACAGUAAAUUACUGUAAAAAUAGACUACUGUAAUAAAAUAUUGUAAAAUUACAGUACAGUACUGCUUUGUAACUAUACAGUACUAGUUUGUGUACUGUAAAAUGGUAUUACAGUACAGUACUGUAAAACCAAAAUACAGUAACUUACUGGCAACCGUGCUGCCAGUACCGUACUGUAAAAAUACAGGGAAAUCGUU